rfam:Pelodiscus sinensis unplaced genomic scaffold scaffold782, whole genome shotgun sequence.
AUUUGUCAAUUUUAUAUGUUUUCACUUUUUUUGAUUGUAUCCCUUUCGUAUAUACGGUCAUGCCAAUUUUCUUCCACAAUUUCAUCUGAGGAAGUGGGUCUGGCCCACGAAAACUCAUCACCUAAUAAACCAUCUUGUUAGUCUUUAAAGUGCUGCAUAGUCCUGUCUUUUGUUUGAGAAAAAAAAAACAGGUUCCAACUAAAGUAAAAAGUUUGGGAAACCCUGGUCUAGCCAGCUUUCUCUCCAUCUUACAGUCCAUUUAUCCAAUCCAUACUCCCUUAACUUGCUGGCAAGGAUAUUGUGGAUGACCGUAUCAAAAGCUAGAGGUGAAAUUCUUGGACCGGCACAAGACGGACCAAAGCGAAAGCAUUUGCUAAGAACGUUUUCAUUAAUCAAGAACGAAAGUCGGAGGUUCGAAGACGAUCAGAUACCAUCGUAGUUCCGACCAUAAACGAUGCCGACUCACGAUCCGGCGGCGUUAUUCCCAUGACCCUCCAGGCAGCCUACAGGAAACCAAAGUCUUUGAGU